CCUACGGGUGACAGCAGUGGGGAAUAUUGGGCAAUGGGCGCAAGCCUGACCCAGCAACGCCGCGUGAAGGAAGAAGGCUUUCGGGUUUUAAACUUCUUUUGACAGGGAAGAGUAGAAGACGGUGCCUGUCGAAUAAGCCACGGCUAACUACGUGCCAGCGGCCGCGGUAAUACGGAGGUGGCAAGCGGUGUCCAGGUUUACUGGGUGUACAGGGCUUGUAGCCGGGUUGACAAGUCAGUGGUGAACUCCUGCGUCUUAACCGUAGCAUUGCAUUUGAACCUGGUCUUCUUGAGUACUGUAGAGGUAGGCGGAAUUCGUGGUGUAGCGGUGAAAUGCUUAGAUAUGACGAGGAACUCCGGUUGCGAAGGCGGGCUGCUGGACAGUAACUGACGGUGAUGCUCGAAAGUGUGGGGAGCAAACAGGAUUAGAUACCCCGGUAGUC
rnacentral:rRNA from 1 species